AACGCAUAUUGCGCUCUCUGGCAUUCCGGAGAGCAUGCUUGUUUGAGUAUCAGUAAAACCUCAAGCAAAAAUCUUUUUUUGUUAAGAAAAAAGGUGGCUUGGAUUUGAGUAAUCCUAACAAAGUCAAUAUAUGACUGAGGCAGGUUACUUGAAAUAAAGGUGCAGCUGAACUAUUCUUCUGAGCUAUAAGCAUUAUUUAUUUAGUCAUCUUGACUAUUACUUUUUUGCUGCAGCUAACAUAAAGGUUGAUUAGUUUUAGAACGCUGACUGAUGCAGGAAUUUUUCAAUUUUUUAUUUUUUAAAAAAUUGUUAAACUCGAUCUCAAAUCAAGUAAGACUACCCGCUGAACUUAA
rnacentral:misc_RNA from 1 species